AUUGAACGCUGGCGGCCGGCCUAACACAUGCAAGUCGAGCGAGCGGCGGACGGGUGAGUAAUGUCUGGGAAACUGCCCGAUGGAGGGGGAUAACUACUGGAAACGGUAGCUAAUACCGCAUACCAUCAGAUGUGCCCAGAUGGGAUUAGCUUGUAGGGGAGGUAACGGCUCACCUAGGCGACGAUCCCUAGCUGGUCUGAGAGGAUGACCAGCCACACUGGAACUGCGACACGGUCCAGACUCCUACGUGAGGCAGCCUGGGGGAAUAGUGCACAAUUGGCGAAAGCCUGAUGCAGCCAUGCCGCGUGUAUGAAGAAGGCCUUCGGGUUGUAAAGGACUUUCAGCGGGGAGGCGUUACCCGCAGAAGAAGCACCGGCUAACUCCGUGCCAGCAGCCGCGGUAAUUC
rnacentral:rRNA from 1 species